GCUAAUACCGCAUACGUCCUACGGGAGAAAGCGGGGGACCUUCGGGCCUCGCGCCAUUAGAUGAGCCUAGGUCGGAUUAGCUAGUUGGUGAGGUAAUGGCUCACCAAGGCUACGAUCCGUAACUGGUCUGAGAGGAUGAUCAGUCACACUGGAACUGAGACACGGUCCAGACUCCUACGGGAGGCAGCAGUGGGGAAUAUUGGACAAUGGGCGAAAGCCUGAUCCAGCCAUGCCGCGUGUGUGAAGAAGGUCUUCGGAUUGUAAAGCACUUUAAGUUGG
rnacentral:rRNA from 1 species